UACGUAGGCAGCAAGCGUUGUUCGGAGUUACUGGGCGUAAAGAGUGCGUAGGCGGUGUCGAAAGUUUGGCGUGAAAUCUCCCGGCUUAACUGGGAGGGUGCGCCGAAAAUUGCGAUGCUGGAGUGUGGGAAAGGCAAGCGGAAUUCCUGGAUGUAGCGGUGGAAUGACGUAAGAUAUCAGGAGGAACACCGGCGGGUGUAGACGGCUUGCUUAGACCAU
rnacentral:rRNA from 1 species